rnacentral:rRNA from 1 species
GGGGGUAGCUUGCUACCUGCCGGCGAGUGGCGAACGGGUGAGUAAUACAUCGGAACGUGCCCUGUAGUGGGGGAUAACUAGUCGAAAGACUAGCUAAUACCGCAUACGACCUGAGGGUGAAAGUGGGGGACCGCAAGGCCUCAUGCUAUAGGAGCGGCCGAUGUCUGAUUAGCUAGUUGGUGGGGUAAAGGCCCACCAAGGCGACGAUCAGUAGCUGGUCUGAGAGGACGAUCAGCCACACUGGGACUGAGACACGGCCCAGACUCCUACGGGAGGCAGCAGUGGGGAAUUUUGGACAAUGGGGGCAACCCUGAUCCAGCAAUGCCGCGUGUGUGAAGAAGGCCUUCGGGUUGUAAAGCACUUUUGUCCGGAAAGAAAUCGCACUGGUUAAUACCUGGUGUGGAUGACG